GAUGAACGCUGGCGGCGUGCCUAAUACAUGCAAGUCGAACGAAACUUCUUUAUCACCGAGUGCUUGCACUCACCGAUAAAGAGUUGAGUGGCGAACGGGUGAGUAACACGUGAGCAACCUGCCCAAAAGAGGGGGAUAACACUUGGAAACAGGUGCUAAUACCGCAUAACCAUAGUUACCGCAUGGUAACUAUGUAAAAGGUGGCUAUACUACCGCUUUUGGAUGGGCCCGCGGCGCAUUAGCUAGUUGGUAGGGUAAAGGCUUACCAAGGCAAUGAUGCGUAGCCGAAUUGAGAGGUUGAUCGGCCACAUUGGGACUGAGACACGGCCCAAACUCCUACGGGAGGCAGCAGUAGGGAAUCUUCAACAAUGGGCGAAAGCCUGAUGGAGCAACGCCGCGUGGGUGAAGAAGGUCUUCGGAUCGUAAAACCCUGUUGUUAGAGAAGAAAGUGCGUGAGAGUAACUGUUCACGUUUCGACGGUAUCUAACCAGAAAGCCACGGCUAACUACGUG
rnacentral:rRNA from 1 species